AUAAAAACCUGGCAGGGGAGAUACCAUGAUCACGAAGGUGGUUUUCCCAGGGCGAGGCUUAUCCAUUGCACUCCGAAUGUGCUGACCCCUGAGAUUUCCCCAAAUGUGGGAAACUCCACUGCAUAAUUUGUGGUAGCAGGGGACUGCAUUUGUGCUUUCCUCUG
rnacentral:snRNA from 1 species